rnacentral:rRNA from 1 species
GACGAACGCUGGCGGCGUGCUUAACACAUGCAAGUCGAACGGUAAGGCCCUUUCGGGGGUACACGAGUGGCGAACGGGUGAGUAACACGUGGGUGAUCUGCCCUGCACUUUGGAAUAAGCCUGGGAAACUGGGUCUAAUACCGGAUAGGACUACGCGAUGCAUGUCGUGUGGUGGAAAGCUUUUGCGGUGUGGGAUGGGCCCGCGGCCUAUCAGCUUGUUGGUGGGGUGAUGGCCUACCAAGGCGACGACGGGUAGCCGGCCUGAGAGGGUGUCCGGCCACACUGGGACUGAGAUACGGCCCAGACUCCUACGGGAGGCAGCAGUGGGGAAUAUUGCACAAUGGGCGCAAGCCUGAUGCAGCGACGCCGCGUGGGGGAUGACGGCCUUCGGGUUGUAAACCCCUUUCAGCACAGACGAAGCGUAAGUGACGGUAUGUGCAGAAGAAGCACCGGCCAACUACGUG